GGACGAACGCUGGCGGCGUGCUUAACACAUGCAAGUCGAGCGGGUAAGGCCCUUUCGGGGGGUACACGAGCGGCGAACGGGUGAGUAACACGUGGGUGACCUGCCCUCAGCUCUGGGAUAAGCCCUGGGAAACUGGGGUCUAAUACUGGAUAUGACUCCACGGUGCAUGUCGUGGGGGUGGAAAGCCUUGUGCGGCUGAGGAUGGGCCCGCGGCCUAUCAGCUUGUUGGUGGGGUGAUGGCCUACCAAGGCGACGACGGGUAGCCGGCCUGAGAGGGCGACCGGCCACACUGGGACUGAGACACGGCCCAGACUCCUACGGGAGGCAGCAGUGGGGAAUCUUGCGCAAUGGGCGAAAGCCUGACGCAGCGACGCCGCGUGAGGGAUGACGGCCU
rnacentral:rRNA from 1 species